rnacentral:rRNA from 1 species
CCUACGGGUGGCAGCAGUGAGGAAUAUUGGUCAAUGGACGCUAGCCUGAACCAGCCAUGCCGCGUGCAGGAUGACUGCUCUAUGAGUUGUAAACUGCUUUUAUAUGAGGGUAAACUCCAGUAUGUAUACUGCGUUGCAAGUAUCGUACGAAUAAGGAUCGGCUAACUCCGUGCCAGCAGCCGCGGUAAUACGGAGGAUCCGAGCGUUAUCCGGAUUUAUUGGGUUUAAAGGGUGCGUAGGCGGUUUGUUAAGUCAGUGGUGAAAUGUUGGGGCUCAACCGCGAAAUUGCAGCUAAUACUGUCAGACUAGAGUAUAGUUGAGGUAGGCGGAAUGCAUGGUGUAGCGGUGAAAUGCUUAGAGAUCAUACAGAACACCGAUUGCGAAGGCAGCCUACCGAACUAUAACUGACGCUGAGGCACGAAAGUGUGGGUAGCAAACAGGAUUAGAUACCCGAGUAGUC